rnacentral:rRNA from 1 species
AGUGAACGCUGGCGGUAGGCCUAACACAUGCAAGUCGAACGGCAGCACAGUAAGAGCUUGCUCUUACGGGUGGCGAGUGGCGGACGGGUGAGGAAUACAUCGGAAUCUACUUUUUCGUGGGGGAUAAUGUAGGGAAACUAAGGCUAAUACCGAAUAGAACUUAGGGGGAAAGGCGGGGGACCUUGGAACCUGGCGGGAUGAAAUGGGCGGAUGUCGGAUUAGCUAGUGGGCGGGGUAAAGGCCAACCAGGGCGACGAUCCGUAGCUGGUCUGAGAGGAUGAUCAGCCACACUGGAACUGAGACACGGUCCAGACUCCUACGGGAGGCGGCAGUGGGGAAUAUUGGACAAUGGGCGCAAGCCUGAUCCAGCCAUACCGCGUGGGUGAAGAAGGCCUUCGGGUUGUAAAGCCCUUUUGUUGGGAAAGAAAAGCAGCAGGUUAAUACCCCGCUGUUCUGACGGUACCCAAAGAAUAAGCACCGGCUAACUUCGUG